UUGUAGUCUGUAGAAGGUGCCUCGGGUGCGACAUCGGUCCAAGUUCCUUGGACUGGGGCGUCACAGAGGGUGAGAAUCCCGUACGUGGCCGGCCGUCAAUCCCGUGUGAGGUCCUUUCGACGAGUCGAGUUGUUUGGGAAUGCAGCUCUAAAUGGGUGGUAAAUUUCAUCUAAAGCUAAAUACCUGCCAGAGACCGAUAGCGCACAAGUAGAGUGAUCGAAAGAUGAAAAGCACUUUGAAAAGAGAGUUAAAAAGUACGUGAAAUUGUUGAAAGGGAAGCGCUUGCAACCAGACUCGUACGUGGGUGUUCAGCCAUUCUUCGGGGUGGUGUGCUCUCCCGCGCUCGGGCCAGCAUCGGUUCGGGCGGCCGGAUAAAGGCCCCGGGAAUGUGAUUCUCUUCGGGGAACGUUAUAGCCCGGGGUGCAAUGCGGCCAGCCUGGACCGAGGACCGCGCUUUUGCUAGGAUGCUGGCGUAAUGGUUGCCAGCGACCCGUCUUGAAACACGGACCAAGGAGUCGAUCUAUGCGGCGAGUGUUAGGGCGUAAAACCCUUGCGCGUAAUGAAAGUGAACGGAGGUGCGAGCUUCGGCGCGGCAUCGACCGAUCCUGAUAUUUAUGGAUGGAUUUGAGUAUGAGCCGUAUGGAUCGGACCCGAAAGAUGGUGAGCUAUGCGUGAAUAGGGUGAAGCCAGAGGAAACUCUGGUGGAGGCUCGCAGCGGUUCUGACGUCUAGUAGCUGGUUCCUGUCGAAGUUUCCCUCAGGAUAGCAGCAACGAAAACAGUCUCAUGAGGUAGAGCGAACGAUUAGAGGCCUUGGGGUUGAAACAACCUUAACCUAUUCUCGAACUUCGAAUAUGUGAGAAGUCCUUGUUACUUAGUUGAA
rnacentral:rRNA from 1 species